rnacentral:rRNA from 1 species
AUACGUAGGUGACAAGCGUUAUCCGGAUUUACUGGGCGUAAAGGGCGUGUAGGCGGUCUUGCAAGUCAGAAGUGAAAUUCCUGAGCUCAACUCGGGCGCUGCUUCUGAAACUGCAGGACUUGAGUGCUGGAGGGGAUAGCGGAAUUCCUAGUGGAGCGGUAACAUGCGCAGAUAUUAGGAAGAACACCGGGGGCGGAGGGGGCUAUCUGGACAGUAACGGACGCGGAGGCGCGAAAGCGUGGGGAGAAAAAAGGAUUAGAUACCCAGGUAGUCCACGCCGUAAACGAUGAAUACUAGGUGUAGGGGGUAUCGACUCCCUCUGUGCCGCAGUUAACACAAUAAGUAUUCCGCCUGGGGAGUACGGCCGCAAGGUUGAAACUCAAAGGAAUUGACGGGG